rnacentral:rRNA from 1 species
AUAUGCUUGUCCCAAAGCUUAAGCCAUGCAUGUCUAAGAACAAGCGAUCUCGUGAAUCUGCGAACGGCUCCGUAUAUCUGUUGCAACCCGCCUGAAACCGCUCCGGGAUGUUCCUACCCCGGGCAGCGGAUACCCAUGGUAAUUCUGUGGCUAAUACGUGUAAGCACAGUGUGAGGGCUACCGAAGGGUAGCCUGUGGCCUUGCAUGACCACAAGGCGCGGGCUCCGGCCCCCUGUCUGACGUCAGCAAGUGCCCUACCGGCCACUUUCUUGGCCGGAAUACCAGACGGGCUUCAGACCUAUCAACUUUGUACGCAGGGGAGAGUCCUGCUACGGUCACGACGGGUACAGAGGAUCAGGGUUCGAUCCUGGAGAGGUAGCCUGAGAGAUCGCUACUACUUCUAAGGAAGGCAGCAGGCGCGCAACGUUCCCAAUGGGGAUACCCUGAGGACGUGACGGGACAUAUCAAUGCCUCGCCCAUAAAGCGGGGCAAUUGAAAUGGGGGCUAUCCAAACCCUCCACCGAGUAACAAUUGGAGGACAAGUCUGGUGCCAGCACCCGCGGUAAUUCCAGCUCCAAUAGCAUCUAGUUAAGUUGCUGCAGUUAAAACGCUCGUAGUUCAAGCUGGUGCGUACGCCGCCCGCCUAGUAGCGCCCGGCCCGGGGCCACCCCUCUUCUGGGUUCGGGCCCUCCCCGGGUGUCAACGGCGGGAGCGCAGGCGUGCCACCACAGUGGUCGGAGCUACGCCGGCUGCGGUCCUUCAGUGGUCCGCUACCGGUCUCCGGCACUUUCCUUUGAGUAAAUGUGAGCGCUCAAAGCGGGUCACUUAGGCCCUUGCAACCUGCAGCAAAGAAUAAUAUGAUGGGCUCCCCCGGAUACGCCUUGCGAGGGGGAGCUAAUUGGUCGAUGGGCAGGAUCGGGGUGGGCCACAUGGCGGGGGUAGGGGUGAAAUCCGUUGAUCCUCGCCAGGUGAUCUAACGCGAAGGCAGCCCACAAGUACCUGUCUUUCGAUCAAGAACGAAAGUCUGGGGAUCGAAGAUGAUUAGAUACCAUCGUAGUCCAGACCCUAAACGAUGCCGGCUAUGGAUGGCCUUUCGUCCAUCCCGACCCAGCCCGAACCUCGUGGGAAACCAUAAGCGUUUGGGCUCC